GUUGCUAUUCAUUUACUUAGUAACCUGCUGUUUUGGGGUAUGUCACCCCACCACUUUGAUCUAUGGUUUCCUCUCUGCAAAUUGGAGAUUUAUCUUGUAGGGUGCUUGCAAGUUUUCAAUUAAAUUAGGUUUUUUUUAAAGUCUUUAGGUGAUUGACAGGUGCUGGGUAAGCGCUCAGCAAACAUUAGAUUAAACCAUAUUAAACUUCUAUUUUUAUAGAUCAUAAAAGGUCAAAUAUUGGCAAUUUUACAUGGUUCAACCUAACAUUGAUUUUCUCCUUUUCUUUUAAGCUGCUGGGAAACCACAGACCAACACCCCAGGCACUAAACAGUACAGUCCUAUUCCACAGCCUGCUCAGACCCUGCUCCUGCUGUUGUCCAUGUGUGAGACCCAGCCUCGCACUCCCUUGACCAUGACGUGAGUUAUUGACUGCUCAUCACUCUGGGGCCGGUAGGACUCUGCCUGUGGAUAUUUCCUCGUGUUGUCAGUUUGUUUCAUACACUGGCCUGUGUUGACUUUUCUUUGAGUUCUGUGCUGUUGUCCCUGAAUGGUGGGGUCCUCAGAUGUACUAUCCAUAUUGUAUUCCGGUGCGGGAACAUUUUCCCCAACUGCAAAGGAUUGGGCACCUCUACUAACCAGGUAAAAAAAAAAUUCCUUGCACUUGUUUUGUUUUCCAAAUCCAGAAUAACUCUGUUGAAAACUCUCACUCUCUCUGAUGAAAGGAAAUGUUAUCUUCCUCUUGAGGAAGCUCUGUGAUUUGAGUAGGAAAAACUAACUUUCAGGGCUGCGAUCUGGAAGGCUUCUCACUCAGGAAACUUAUACAAAUUCACUUUCUAUUGUCCUCAAAAGGAUCGUCCAUCCCUGGAUCUGGGACUCUCCCCAUUUCUUGUACUGUUAAUGUUUAUCUGGGGGAAAAUAACAUUUCUUAGGAUCAUAGGCAAAGCUUCCCAUCUCACUUACCAAUCCUGAUCAUUACCUCCUUCAAUCCUUGAUAUCUGCUUCUGUAUGC
rnacentral:lncRNA from 1 species